AUGUGGCGCACGCACGUGAACGGCUCCCCCGCCCUUUUCGUCGGGUCGCCGCGACAGCAGCAGCCUCGCUCGCUGGCCGGCCAAAUUUCCGUAGCCCGGCGUGCGCAGCCCUUGUCCGCUGUCUCACGUCGCUGCGCUGGCUCUCGCUGGUUCGCCAGCACGAUGGUCCUUCCGUUUCCUGCUCCAUCAGUUUCGGAAAUUUUCCUAUCCUUCUCGCAAACAAAAAAACCAAAUAAAUUCCACCAGAAAAAAUCGAAGGCGAAUUCGCCUGUCAAAGUCACGUGGAACACGUGUGUUUCAGACGGAGGUAAGAUUUUCCUUUUCCAGAUUAUAUUUCGCGUAGAAAGAAGCGCCGCUGGUACGAUUUGGGCCUGGUUUAAUCUCCAGUACCCUUCCUUUUUAUUUACUGUCUCGCGCUUUCACUCGCUACCAUUUCUUUAG
rnacentral:rRNA from 1 species